rnacentral:rRNA from 1 species
UACGUAGGGGGCAAGCGUUGUCCGGAAUCAUUGGGCGUAAAGCGCGCGUAGGCGGCCCGGUAAGUCCGCUGUAAAAGUCCAGGGCUCAACCCUGGAAAGCCGGUGGAUACUGCCGGGCUAGAAUCCGGAAGAGGCGAGUGGAAUUCCUGGUGUAGCGGUGGAAUGCGGCAGAUAUCAGGAGGAACACCAAUAGCGAAGGCAGCUCGCUGGGACGGUACUGACGCUGAGACGCGAAAGCGUGGGGAGGCGAA